rnacentral:rRNA from 1 species
GAUGAACGCUGGCGGCGUGCCUAAUACAUGCAAGUCGAGCGGAAAGGCCCUUCGGGGUACUCGAGCGGCGGACGGCUGAGUAACGCGUAGGAACGUACCCCAAAGUGAGGGAUAACUGCUCGCAUGAGUAGCUAAUACCGCAUGUGCUCUUCGGAGUAAAGUUUCGGCGCUUUGGGGACGGCCUGCGUCCUAUUAGCUAGUUGGUGAGGUAAUUGCUCACCAAGGAGACGAUAGGUAGCUGGUCUGAGAGGAUGAUCAGCCAGACUGGGACUGAGACACGGCCCAGACUCCUACGGGAGGCAGCAGUAGGGAAUUUUCCACAAUGGGCGAAAGCCUGAUGGAGCAACGCCGCGUGCAGGAUGAAUGCCUUCGGGUUGUAAACUGCUUUUAUAGGUGAAGAAUAUGACGGUAACCUAUGAAUAAGGAUCGGCUAACUCCGUGCCAGCAGCCGCCGCCG